CCUACGGGGGGCAGCAGUGGGGAAUAUUGCACAAUGGGGGAAACCCUGAUGCAGCGACGCCGCGUGAGUGAAGAAGUAUUUCGGUACGUAAAGCUCUAGCAGCAGGGAAGAAAAUGACGGUACCUGACGAAGAAGCCCCGGCUAACGACGUGACAGCAGCCGCGGUAAUACGUAGGGGGCAAGCGUUAGCCGGAUUUACUGGGUGUAAAGGGAGCGGAGACGGCAGCGCAAGUCUGGAGUUAAAUCCCAGGGCUUAACCAUGGAACUGCUUUGGAAACUGUGCAGAUAGAGUGCAGGAGAGGUCAGCUUAAUUCCUCUUGUCGCGGUGAACUGCGUAGAUCUUAGGAGGACCACCAGUGGCGAUGGCGGCUUACUGGACUGUACCUGACGUUGAGGCUCGACAGCGUGGGGAGCAAACAGGAUUAGAUACCCCUGUAGUC
rnacentral:rRNA from 1 species